rnacentral:rRNA from 1 species
AUGGAAACUCACCCCAACUUCCAUGCUAGUCCAUUCGAUGGGUCUGUGGAAAACACUGAGUUUAAGUUCAGUAGCUUGUACCUGCACCACAUUUUCAGUGGAUCAAACCCAACCCAAGCAAACAUCAUAGUUGGAGAUGCUACCACUAAGUUGGGCAGGACAUCAGUUCACGACUGGGCCAUAUAUGAUGGGGUUGGCACCGACGCCAAGCUAGUGGGCCGUGCACAAGGGCUGCAUAUCAACGCUGGUAGUUGGCACAAUACGUUCACCAUUCGAUUCGAGAUUGAAAGGUUCAAGAAGAGCACACUUCAGGUAAUGGGAGAAUCUGUAGCCCAAGAAGGUGAGUGGGCUAUUGCCGGUGGGACAGGUGAACUCGCAAUGGCAUGUGGUGUUAUACACAAAACAUGGCAUCAGGAAACAGAUGGUGGUACCAUAAUCCAACUUAACAUCCAUGGAUUCUGCCGCAUGAAGCUACCCAUUCUCACAAAGAGUGGCCCCUGGGGAGGCAAGGAGGGUUCUGCUGUUGGCAUGGAAAAACCCUCCAAGAUUGCAAGUAUCGCCAUCCACUAUCAAGAAAGAAUUGAUUCAUUUGAAUAUAAUUACUUUGACCAAUAUGGCAACAGCCGUUACACAAAUAUUUGGGGCACUAAGAGUCCCAAUCGCGCAGAGAUUGUGUUGGGCCCUGAAGAAAUUGUGACCGCAAUGUCUGGAACUGUUAUCGAACAUAAUAAUAUCAAUGUUAUACAGACACUGAAGUUUACCACUAACGAAAGAACAUACGGACCUUAUGGAAAUACUGAAAAUAUACAAGGUGGUACAGUACACAAUUUCAGCGCUGUGAUGCCAAAUGGUCAAGCAAUUGUUGGCUUCUUUGGGCAUACUGAUAUGACAUGCUUGAAUGGAAUAGGUGUUUACGUAGCCUAG